GUUGUUGUGGCCGAGUGGUUAAGGCUAUGGACUUGAAAUCCAUUUUGGUUACAGUUCAAAUCCUGCCAAUAUGU